rnacentral:pre_miRNA from 1 species
UCAUUCGGAUUCACCAUCAUACGUCCAACCGUGCAUUUGAUAUGCAUAUAUAUGCAUCACGAGCCACGGUUGGGAUGUAUGAUGGCGAUACCGAUUGG